rnacentral:tRNA from 1 species
GUUGAGUGCUCAGUGGUAGAGUGCUUGCCUAGCAAAGUGAGGCCCUGAGUUCAAUUCUCAGCACUGCAUA